CCUUAUCGUCGCGUGCGUGCCGCUGUUCACGACGCCAGUCGCCACCGUGACGAGGAAGCCUUCCAAGGCGAGUGUCUAAGAUAUGGCUGUCCCAGAAGGUGCGCCUGCCUUUGGUUCCAUAACAGUGCCUAACCCGUUGAACAUGGAGCUGCGGGUCGGGAAAAUAGGUCUGUACGAAUACGGGAUGAAAGGGGCGUGCCACGGCCUCCACGGUUGCUCGCACCGUUCUCCGGUGAACAGCGUUGCACAAAGCUCCGAUGUGGCUACACUCCUUUGACGCGCGGCUGCGGUGUGUCCCUGCUUCUCGCCUUCCCAGGCCAAAGUGAGCCUUCUUCAGGCAGCGAAGGUGUAGACCCCCAUCCAGGUCGUCUCUGUUCUAGUUUAAUUUGACUGGCCUUCGAUUUCAUCGACAGAGGAGUUCUCUUGCGUCGAGCGCGCGUGGGGUUGGCGCGGGAAAAAGAGGCAGAGACAUCGAGGACGAAACCAGUCGGUUGCCACUCGAUGCAGACCAACGGAGCGAGCGGACAGAGAGUCUGUUCUCUGCUCCGCGGGACACACCGUGUUCGCCCGGAGUCGCUCCACCUGUGCGACUGUCGUGAGUCGGAUCGUUUGCAGAGUCGUUUUGGGAUUGCGGCCUAGAGGAGAACAGAUGAAUGUGUGUCGUCUCUUCGGUGCCACCGUCAAAGUGCGGCAACAACACGCUUCACGCCACAGUCUUGUUUUUUGCCCGUUUCCAAAAAACCCUACGCUUGUCAGCCGGUACGUCAGAGGGAGAACAGCUCUGCCGGUUCCUGGCUCUCUAGUGGAGUGGAGGCGCUUCAAUCUGCGCUGGCUCUUGAGGCGUGGAGUCGUCAGCGUGAACGCGAGAGAGGUUAC
rnacentral:lncRNA from 1 species